AAACAACUCUCAGCAACG
rnacentral:rRNA from 1 species